UACAGAGGGGGCAAGCGUUGUUCGGAAUCACUGGGCGUAAAGCGCACGUAGGCGGCUUGUUAAGUCAGGGGUGAAAUCCUGGAGCUCAACUCCAGAACUGCCUUUGAUACUGAGGAGCUUGAGUCCGGGAGAGGUGAGUGGAACUGCGAGUGUAGAGGUGAAAUUCGUAGAUAUUCGGAGGAACACCAGAAGCGAAGGCGGCUCACUGGACCGACACUGACGCUGAGGCGCGAAAGCGUGGGGAGCAAACAGG
rnacentral:rRNA from 1 species